GAGGCUAAAUGUCUUCUGGAAUAAUUUUUUAUUCAAGCUGACAUGUGGUACCUAGGGAUAGCCAAACUCUAUGGAUGGGACAAACCAGGAGUCCAAUACAUACAUUGAAAUGAGAGUCUAAACAUAAAUUCUGGGUAGAUGCCACAACUGUAUCUGGGAUUUCAGUGACAGUAACUUUAAGGCACAGUAUCUGUGUAGUUAAGGUGCUUUUAAAAAGUUUUUUUCUUCACCUUUAGGUGUCCAUAUGCACUUGCCCCAAUUGGGUAUCACCUUUCAUUGCUUCCGAUAAUUAAAUCAAGCCAUUCUGUAAAUUGGUUUUCAUAUAUAAUCAUAAGCAGAUGGUUCUGUGGUCCUUACAUUAAAUGAGUACUUAAAGAAAAUAAUGUGCAGCAGAGCUCUUGUAUAAUUUUUGGUUUCAGUGCAUCCUGUCAAUCUGGUGCUGAUUCCAAAAUUGUCUUCCUGCAGCAUCUAUUCAGUUCCAUAUUGGAUGUCCUGUUCAACUUCCUCAAGGAAAGUGAUUAAUUUUUUUAAAAAGACAUUGUGGAGAGAACAUCAUGGUUUCAUAAUCCAUGGUUCUUUCCCCUCCACUAACAUUGUCAUCUUUAAGAAACAGAUUUUGAACCUUGAGGGCCACCCACACCAACAGUACAGUACAGGAGACUUCAAGAAGGAGAUGGGAGUGUUUAUUUUUCUGGCUUGGAAAAUGUAAUGCUCCACGAAAUGCCUCACAUAUAAAUUGACUGUGUUCAUUUAAACUAGGCUCUGGUAUUUACUAGCCUUCCCUCUCUCCUCAAAUGAGAAUUAGAUUUGCCAGAUGUUGCUGAUCAUAAAGAAUAUUCUUUUCUUCUCCCUGUAAUGGAAAUGUUCCUUGUUAUUUCAGAACAGAGAAGUGGCAUAGAACUCCACAGACCAAACCACAGCUCCAUAAUAUAACUUUACCCUUAUUUUUGAAAUUCAGUGUUAACAGUGCCAUGUGGACAACAUUUUCUUUUAAUGCUGUAUUAGCAUUCCUGCUUAGGUACAUUUUUCUUGAUCAAAGGCUUCAUUUUUAUUAAAAUGCUGACAUCUUCUUUUUCAUACUCUUGGAAGGGAAGAAGAUGUGAUACAGCGGGUUUCCAUGACUGGAAAUUGCAGCUACAAUCAUAACACAAGCUUUACAAGUAGGCAUCUUUAUGCAGCAAGAGAAAGCGUAAAUGGAUGCAUGAAAUAGAUCCUAAUUGCAUAACUCGCAAUUACAGCCUUGACUGAACAUUUAGAAGUGCUAUUAAUUGUGGUCCAGAACACUUGUUCCUUUCACAGGGAUGGGAAUGUUUCUUCAUCACUGUUUUAUCCCAGUCUCCCUCCAAGGGUGGAAUUUCUCUUCACAACAAUCGUAUGAGCUAGGAUUGGCAAAGUGGCCAUGAUCUGCCCAGUGGCUGACUGGACAUUUAAAUCCAGGUCCUCCUGAUCCAAGCCCAGCACACUGUCCAUUAUAUCACAUUCCAUCUCAUGUGGGAUGUUAAUAGGUUCUGCGCUUGGGUUCACUUUACACUUUGCUCUACUAUCAGAAGCCCUACCUGUUAGCUAUAUUCACAUUCUGCUGUCAGGGAUUGCGGAGGACUAGCUCCAAUUUAUUUUAUGUGUUAAGACAUUCAUAAACCACCUUUCAUAUAAAAAAACAAGGUGGUUUACAGGAUAAAAUCAAUACAAUAAAAGAGGAAAUGCCACCAAUAUCCAAUAGAAGUGGUGUUAAAAACAGGGUUUGGGAAUGCCGUUGCAAGAAGAUUAAUCAAUGUUUUAAUCAAUUGGUGGAAUAUCUUUAGUGGAGAUGCCUGAUGUAUCUGUAAGCAGGGAGUAGGCACUGCAUAGGAGCGCCCUUGAGUAGUAACCAGAUGAUCUCAGUAAACUGGCUGGAUUGUGCAAAACAAGACACUCACUUAGCCUGACCCUAAGCAGUUUAGGACCUUAGAAGACCUUAAAUUUACCUUGCUAGAGAACAGUCACUCAGUGCAAUUCCUUUAGCACAGGUGUCAUAUGUGCACAGUAAGAUGCACCAUUGAGCAUCCUAGCACAUUUUGCACUAACCACAACUUUUGAAGGGCAUCUUCACAUAAAGCACAUUCUCUCUGUUCCUUAUCAACGCUGCUCUGGCUGUUUGUUGUCUGGCUUCUUGCUAAAAAAUUGGCCCACUCCAUUCCCUGGACAAGAAAUCAGUAUGCAGACAAGUGGCACCUGUAACAAGAUGUUGCAGUUUAUCCUCACCUCCUAGCAGUAAUGCUUUUGUUUCAGAGUUCUAGCCAAUCAGCCAGUGCUGCCCUCCUUGGGAUGUUAUGUUAUAAGCUGUGGUGGGUUAACCAGAAGAAUGUCUGAGAUGAAAGAGUUUAUUAAUUCAGGCACAUGGCACAGAUAACAGUAGACAAGGGUUAGGGGUGUUAUAUGUUAAGACCUCACAAAGACCAAAGUUGGGCUGGGGGGUGGUAGGUUGAGGGCUCAGAUCUUCAGAAGAGUCUCCCCAGCAAUGCCAUAGCCUUCUCUACAGCUGUUCAAGAUUUCAAAUAUUGGUUUAGCUGAAUGUCAUUUUCCCCAGCAGCUGAAUGUUAUGGCCAGCAUGAUGUUGUGCUGCGGCUUUAAAACCCAUUUAGUCAAAGAAACAAGACACCUGAGUAGCAGCCAAAACCACCAGAGCUGUCAAAGGCUAAAUUCUCUCUCUGUUGCUUUACACCAUGUAGCCAGCUCUGAUGUGAACUGUGAAGACAGGUGUCAUGUCACAUUAAUUAUAGAGCAACUGGGCUGCCUUCUACAAAUACUAUUGUAAUGCUGAAUAGACGUUCGCAGAGAUUCAGGGGUGAUUGUAGCAAGGGAAAGUGAGGUCUGGGGUCAGUUGCAAGUUCAGUCCUUAAGCAACCCGGGCUGUUUUGUUCAGACCUUGGAGAACUGGCUGUGUGUUUUGUUUUAUUUGACAUUUCUUUUGCUUAUUCAUUUGAAAAUAAUUCUGUGCCACCUUUCCUCCAAAAUUUCACACCAGUAUCCAGUAGUAGUAGCAGCAGCACUAACAGUAUGCAGAAGUGAUGGGGCCUACUGAUCCAUCAUACUUUUGUUCACCCUGAGGAGAAUAUAAUCAUUGAGUCAGAUAAGCCUUUCUCUUCCUGCUUGACCCUUUAGGCCAGCUUUCAGAUAGUGAUCUGGCCCUUAGAGAUUGAUGUGCAAUCUGGUUUUUAUGGUUUCUAGCUGUACUACUCUUUUGUUAUAUCAUGCCUUAAUUUUCUGUAGCUCCUAUUUUCAGCACCAUUGAAUGCUUAGGAUCAAUUAUCUCACUUUGAAAGAGAGAAAAUGAACAUAAGUUUUCUAUUCUUCUAGCUCUCAGGAACAGAAAUUAGAUAAGAACUUUACAAAGAACAGGAGUAAAAUAUUUUAUUUUAUUUUUUCACCACAAGACUAUGAUGAGAUUUUUCUGGUGCUGUUCAAAUGAUUCCUACAGAUGCCCAUUAAUUUAUUAGGAAGCUUUCACUGGCCAGCCACAUGCCUGAGGGAAGCCUAAAAGCAGGACAUGAGCACAAUGUAAUUCUUCUGCCUUUGUGCAGCAACUUACCGGUAUAUUCCGAACCACCUUGCCUUUGAUUCAGGAGUGAAUCUACUGCUGUCAUGACUAAUAGCCAUGGUUUGCCUUAGCCAUCAUGAAUUUGGUUAAGCCCCUUUUAAAGCCACCUGAGUAAGUAGCCGUCGCCACAUAUCAUGGGAAGCUAGUCAUUUGUCAUUGCUUAUGCAUUGAGGAGAAUUUUACCACACAUCUACACCAACGACAACAGGAGUGGUGACAUUUGUACCACAUGGGAUGAUACUUCAGAUAGAUAGCUUCCUACCUGGUUUGUGAGCUCCCUAUAUCUUUUUAUUGCCAAAACAUCCUGGGCAUGUGCUGAAUGUACAUGAUGCAGGCGCUUUGCUGAAGUAAAGCUCGUUUAGGCCCAAAUAUGGUAAACCUAUUUAUGUCUGUGUCCUUUGGCCUUUUGACUAAUUAAACAAUGUAUACC